rnacentral:rRNA from 1 species
UGGGGAAUAUUGGACAAUGGGCGCAAGCCUGAUCCAGCCAUGCCGCGUGAGUGACGAAGGUCUUCGGAUUGUAAAGCUCUUUUUGGCGGGGACGAUAAUGACGGUACCCGCAGAAUAAGCCCCGGCUAACUUCGUGCCAGCAGCCGCGGUAAUACGAAGGGGGCUAGCGUUGUUCGGAAUUACUGGGCGUAAAGCGCACGUAGGCGGAUCUAUAAGUCAGGGGUGAAAUCCCGGGGCUCAACCUCGGAACUGCCUUUGAUACUGUAGAUCUCGAGUCCGGAAGAGGUGAGUGGAAUUCCUAGUGUAGAGGUGAAAUUCGUAGAUAUUAGGAAGAACACCUGAGGUGAAGACGGGUUGCUGGGCUGACACUGACGCUGAGGCGCGAAAGCCAGGGGAGCAAACGGGAUUAGAUACCCACGUAGUCCCUGAGCGGGCUGGCAAGGCGCAU